rnacentral:sRNA from 1 species
GCUCGGGGGUCCCAGUUCCG